UACGUAGGGAGCAAGCGUUGUUCGGAUUUACUGGGCGUAAAGGGCGCGUAGGCGGCAAAUUAAGUCAGCUGUGAAAUCUCCGAGCUCAACCCGGGAACUGCGUCCGAUACUGGCAGGCUUGAAUCCGGGAGAGGGAUGCGGAAUUCCAGGUGUAGCGGUGAAAUGCGUAGAUAUCUGGAGGAACACCGGUGGCGAAGGCGGCAUCCUGGACCGGCAUUGACGCUGAGGCGCGAAAGCCAGGGGAGCAAACGGGG
rnacentral:rRNA from 1 species